UACGUAGGGUGCGAGCGUUGUCCGGAAUUAUUGGGCGUAAAGAGCUCGUAGGCGGUUUGUCGCGUCGACUGUGAAAACUGGGGGCUUAACUCUCAGCUUGCAGUUGAUACGGGCAGACUUGAGUUCGGUAGGGGAGACUGGAAUUCCUGGUGUAGCGGUGAAAUGCGUAGAGAUCAGGAGGAACACCCAUGGCGAAGGCAGCUCUCUGGCCUCACCCUGACGCUGAGGCGCGAAAGCGUGGGGAGCGAACGGG
rnacentral:rRNA from 1 species